rnacentral:misc_RNA from 1 species
AAGUCGUAACAAGGUUUCCGUAGGUGAACCUGCGGAAGGAUCAUUAACACGUAUCCAACGUUAAAACCCCUGUGAACUUUUAUUCGAUGCUCCUCACCGCUAAGUCUUGGAUGAAGCCGACAGCUUUCCUGCACUCCGUCGCUUGGAAAUGGAAGGAGGAGGAAUUUCUGCUCGGUAGAGCACUGUGAGUUUGAGCGCGGUAAGGUGGCUUGUUUUUCCCCAAACAGUCGAUGAAUGAAAGUGUCAUCGAUUGCGUAAGGAUUUCGCUUAAUGAUCACUGGAGGUCGAUCACCGACCGGUGGAGCAAGUCACAGGGCUUCGGCUCCCUACAAACCCCACUUCCUAUUGCCGCUCCGCGCUAACAACGCCGGGCAUUUAAAAACGUACUUAACAACUGUUAACAAUGGAUAUCUUGGUUCUC